AUCCCAUAUGUUACGGCGAAAAGACAUUGUCCCAAAUAAUUUACCUGCAAAUGUAUGGCUGAUCAGUUUCAAAUGUUUACAAUGACAUGAAUUCACCGCUUAAGAGUUUUCAUGACAAUUUUCAAGGGGGAUCCUUAACUCGUUGCAAGAGUCAAUUAUUUUGUGAUUAUUUUUGUAGUUGCAAAUAAAAUCGCUACAGAUAAUCAAAUUUAUUGAUUUUUGCGGCGAUAUUGGUACGCCAAUAAUUUUGCUUGCUAUAUUUAACUUUUUGCUUCCCUUCUUUUGACCUUCACCCCAGCCCGAUUAUCUGUUCUCUCUGAGUUUUCUACUGCCUCUCCUCAACUCGUGCCUACUGCCAUUUCGUCUCUUCUUGCCGAUGAGUCUCUCAAUCAUCCGUCUCUCUCUUUCUUUCUCUUCACCGUCUCUCCGUCUCUCUCUCGCACUCGUCCUGCUCACUCUCUCCAUCCAUCGCUGCCUCGCACUCAUCCCGCUCACUCUGUCUAGUUGAUGAGCCUCUGCCCCACAGUCACGUCGCCGUUGCCUAAGGCCUUCAGAUUGCUUCUCGAAGUCUUCUCAAUGAGAUUAACAUUCCAGAUCAGUGCUCUAAAAUGGGUACGUCUGGUGUGACCGCCAUUGCUUGAAUGAAACAACAUUAAGUUCUGAACAGACUUGCAACGGUAAGAAUCUUUCUAUAAGUUUUGGCUCUGACAGAUCACCUGAGUUCUCUCAAGUAAUACUGGGAUCAAGUUAUCUUCAAGUAAUUCAGGAGAUACUUGCUCAUAUUGCAAACUAUUCAAUAGCAAAUCGCCGACUUAUGAGUUAUCCAACUGCUAGGAAUGAGGCUAGUUCAAAUAUACCAUUCUCUUCAAGUUUCCCUGUUGAAAAAUGGAUGUCUUCCACAGUUCCUGUACAACCACUGAUCCAUUUGAUGAUCUUGUGCAACCAGUUAUUGCUCUUUUUCAUUCUUUCCUUUAAAUCUUGCAUUUGGUUUUAGCUUUACGUAUUGUGGAUUCAUUUUAGAAAAAUGCUGUGAUAAAAAACAAUUGUGAAGCUAAUUUUAUUUGCUUAGGAAUUAUAAAAUAUUUCAACGAUUUCUAACUUUA